CCGUGAUGCCCAGGUCAGAUCUCAGCAGCAAAAGGGCUCCUGCCUUACAGUUUUCAACAAACAUGUUCAUUGCUGAUGUCUUGUUAUUGGCAACCUACCUUUGCCCCCAAACGCAUAGAUAGUCCAUGUAUUUGACCGUUUCAUUGUCUACCGAAAUUUUACUGAACCCCCCGAGCAGAACCUCCCUAUGGCCUGGCUGGACAAGCUUACAUCCUGGAGAUUCAUCCUUGCAGGGAGGCGCCUCCUACUCAGAGCGGAUUCCGGAGCUGCUGGUCUGUGAGCAAGCCCCCCACACACAUACUGGACAAGGCUACAGGUCAGGCUGCUGUUGCAGAGAAGUGAAGGUGGGCUAGUGUUCAGGCCAGAAUGGGUAACCCUUGGGUGCCAGUAUCCAAUCUGACCGGACAGGCCACCUUGGCCCCAGAUGCAGCUUUCAAAUUAGCCAUCAAGUCACAAAUACUUAUUGAGCACCUACUGAGUGUCCAGGGCCCAGGGAAUGAAGGACACAUACAAACUGAAGAAAGAAGAAACUAAAAAUGUUGGUUGCUAUCAUGUAUUGUACAUGUGUUUCCACUCACGGUGCAGAGGGGCGAACAAUCUGCUUAAUGCUACAGAAAGCAAGCAUAGCACUAGAGUCUUGAAAAGCACAGAUCCUGGAGCCAGACAGACCUCAGUUGCAAUGCUGGCCCUGCCAGUUUCCAGCCGUGUGUCCUCAGGCACAUCGCUUCACCUCUCUGGGCCUCAGUUUUCUCAGCGGUAAAAUGGGAUUGUGGGGAAGGCUUUAAAUAACUUCAUGCACACAAAGCGCUCUGAAAAGCCCGCAGGGCACUGGAAGUGAACAAUAAAUACCAGCAGACCUCGGCGUUGUUGUUUUUAUCCUUAGUUAUUACUAAGCAGAAGCAGCUGGGAUUUGAAAGUCUGACUAAAGUCGGGGGGUGGGGGGGUCUCAGUCAACCCCCAUGCGGCCCCGGAAGCCUCUCCUCCCCCACCCCGGGCCCCUACUUUCCACCCGCAAACCCCCGCUAAGGUGCUUCCCCGAGACGUGCUCACCUCCCCGGGUGGAGCCCAGCAGCCGCAGGGUCCCGCGGCCCGCCCUCCGCUCGCCGCGCGGGGGCGGGAAAGCCCCGCCCUCGGCCCCGCCCCCUGCCCGCCCCUCCCUCGGCGAGUUCGGGGCUCCGGCUGCGGCGGCGGCUGGGUCACCCGCGCGGAGCGGUUCGGCCGGACGCGACGGGACGGGCGCCCGGGAGCCUGGCGCCGAGCCUCCCGCGCGGCGCGCCGAGCCGGCGAGGCACCUGCGACCUGGGUCGGGGGCCGCGACCGCUCCAGCGAGGAGGUGGGUCCCAGGACAGCUCCCUGCCAGUCUGGCGAGCAGCUGAGUUCGGUCAAUCAUCAACCAGCUAGUAGAGGUGAGAAAGCAAGUCAGUAGUCUGUCCCGCCUUUAACCCCGUGAGCCACUCGUGGGCCACAGAUUCAUCCAGAGAGCGUCCACAGGUCUGCCGGACUCCCCAGCAUUCCCGUGCUGGUGCGGCUGCUUGCUUCACGACGUCCUUGUACCCCCCGCCGCCCCAGGCAGCCCCAUUUCUGCUGCUCUCAGCCAGGCACUGAAAUUGACAGGGGAUGGGGGCCUGAGGACCCCAUUAGUGGCCUGCAGAGUUCCAUGUGACUUGGGCAUUGCAGACUGAGGUCAGUUGUCCAUUAAGCUAUGGAACUGAACACUCCACUUAGCAGUGUAUAUGGGACACAGUUAAAUAAUGAAAAUAAAAAUAGAACAUCGCAAGAGCCUGGGGCUGUC
rnacentral:lncRNA from 1 species